UACGAAGGGGGCAAGCGUUGUUCGGAUUUACUGGGCGUAAAGGGCGCGCAGGCGGCUCUUCAAGUCAGAUGUGAAAGCCCCGGGCUCAACCUGGGAACUGCAUUUGAGACUGAAGAACUCGAGUUCGGGAGAGGAUGGCGGAAUUCCCAGUGUAGAGGUGAAAUUCGUAGAUAUUGGGAGGAACACCGGUGGCGAAGGCGGCGAUCUGGACGAUGACUGACGCUGAGACGCGAAAGCGUGGGGAGCAAACAGG
rnacentral:rRNA from 1 species